GACGAACGCUGGCGACGUGCCUAAUACAUGCAAGUCGAACGAGAGCGACCGGUGCUUGCACUGGUCAAUCUAGUGGCGAACGGGUGAGUAACACGUGGGUAACCUGCCCAUCAGAGGGGGAUAACAUCCGGAAACGGAUGCUAAAACCGCAUAGGUCUUCGAGCCGCAUGGCUUGAAGAGGAAAAGAGGCGCAAGCUUCUGCUGAUGGAUGGACCCGCGGUGCAUUAGCUAGUUGGUGAGGUAACGGCUCACCAAGGCCGUGAUGCAUAGCCGACCUGAGAGGGUGAUCGGCCACAUUGGGACUGAGACACGGCCCAAACUCCUACGGGAGGCAGCAGUAGGGAAUCUUCCGCAAUGGACGCAAGUCUGACGGAGCAACGCCGCGUGAGUGAAGAAGGUUUUCGGAUCGUAAAACUCUGUUGUUAGAGAAGAACAAGUGCUAGAGUAACUGUUAGCGCCUUGACGGUAUCUAACCAGAAAGCCACGGCUAACUACGU
rnacentral:rRNA from 1 species